rnacentral:rRNA from 1 species
AUUGAACGCUGGCGGCAUGCCUUACACAUGCAAGUCGAACGGCAGCACGGGAGCAAUCCUGGUGGCGAGUGGCGAACGGGUGAGUAAUGUAUCGGAACGUACCUUUCAGUGGGGGAUAACGUAGCGAAAGUUACGCUAAUACCGCAUAUUCUGUGAGCAGGAAAGCAGGGGAUCGCAAGACCUUGCGCUGAUUGAGCGGCCGAUAUCAGAUUAGCUAGUUGGUGAGGUAAAGGCUCACCAAGGCGACGAUCUGUAGCGGGUCUGAGAGGAUGAUCCGCCACACUGGAACUGAGACACGGUCCAGACUCCUACGGGAGGCAGCAGUGGGGAAUUUUGGACAAUGGACGCAAGCCUGAUCCAGCCAUGCCGCGUGAGUGAAGAAGGCCUCGG